ACCUGUGAGGCUAAGAGGAGGAUUAGCAAUUGUUUCCCUCAUGAUUUUAUUGUCUCCUGGGGACCCUGCUUUGGGCGGUCUGGAUGUCUGCCUUGGGCCUAGUUUGAGGCGCCCCGAAGGUGGAGCCAUCUUGGUCUCGUAAUUUGCUCUUCCCUGCCCCCCAAGAGGGAAGCCAGAGCUAGCGGGGCCAGCACUGCUCAGGAGGCAAGGUGGCCUACCUGUCGCACACCCGGAGGAGGAAAUCAUUGACCAGGCUCUCGUGCCGGCUGCAGAUGCUUCUCUGGAAGGCACUCUUGAGCCAGUCCUCAAUGCUGCACACCUGCACGCGGCUGGAGUGCCAGCAGAUGGAGAGGCUGCGGAGUGCCGGGCCCAGGAGGAAGUUGUCCUUCUGGAGUUCAGUGAGGGAACGGAAGUGCAGCAGGGACCAGAGUGCGGGGUCCUCAAACACGUCGUGGAGCUGGGAGCAGGUCCUGGCAAGGCUCUUCCUGCUGUCCUUGUCUAGGAAGGAGAAGAGGUGCAGCAGGCACUCCCGGUUGAGCUGGGUUAUGUGCAUGGUCACUUCAUCCUGGCCCAGGUACUGCAGCUCCAAAUCGUGGGGAUUCUGUAAGAGCUUGCUACCUGUUGACUGAGGAGGCCCACGAGUUGAGCAAAAAGAAUGAUUCCUCAGCAGUCAUUGUGAAAUUUUGUGGGCCACAAGUAUUGUGCACACAUGAUCCUUGAUUUAGAGUCAACCUGAUGUCCAUUAUAGCUGUGGAAAGGCAGCAGGCAGUUGUGUCGCUCUUCACAAUAAGGAACACAUCUUGCUUUCAGCAUGUGAGAGGAACAAAAGCAUUG
rnacentral:lncRNA from 1 species